UGAACGCUGGCGGCGUGCCUAAUACAUGCAAGUCGAGCGAACAGACGAGGAGCUUGCUCCUCUGACGUUAGCGGCGGACGGGUGAGUAACACGUGGAUAACCUACCUAUAAGACUGGGAUAACUUCGGGAAACCGGAGCUAAUACCGGAUAAUAUAUUGAACCGCAUGGUUCAAUAGUGAAAGACGGUUUUGUUGUCACUUAUAGAUGGAUCCGCGCCGCAUUAGCUAGUUGGUAAGGUAACGGCUUACCAAGGCAACGAUGCGUAGCCGACCUGAGAGGGUGAUCGGCCACACUGGAACUGAGACACGGUUCAGACUCCUACGGGAGGCAGCAGUAGGGAAUCUUCCGCAAUGGGCGAAAGCCUGACGGAGCAACGCCGCGUGAGUGAUGAAGGUCUUCGGAUCGUAAAACUCUGUUAUUAGGGAAGAACAAAUGUGUAAGUAACUAUGCACGUCUUGACGGUACCUAAUCAGAAAGCCACGGCUAACUACGUG
rnacentral:rRNA from 1 species